rnacentral:lncRNA from 1 species
AAUGUCCACCUUCCUCGAGGUGACGCUGGCCAUAGUUGACGACUCGAAUCUUGCGGUACAACUCGUAUGAAACGUAUGCAUCUUUUGCUGCAUACUUAAUGUUGAUAGGAUCAAGUGGGCCCUUCUCCCAAAGUUUGUGCUGAGACUUUGGGAAACUGGUCUUCAUAUCACCAUAUUCCUCGUCGAUGAAGGCAACUGCCAUAUGAGCCAUCGAAGUCCUCUCAUGUCGAAGCC